rnacentral:rRNA from 1 species
UUAAGCGACUAAGCGUACACGGUGGAUGCCCUGGCAGUCAGAGGCGAUGAAGGACGUGCUAAUCUGCGAUAAGCGUCGGUAAGGUGAUAUGAACCGUUAUAACCGGCGAUUUCCGAAUGGGGAAACCCAGUGUGAUUCGUCACACUAUCAUUAACUGAAUCCAUAGGUUAAUGAGGCGAACCGGGGGAACUGAAACAUCUAAGUACCCCGAGGAAAAGAAAUCAACCGAGAUUCCCCCAGUAGCGGCGAGCGAACGGGGAGGAGCCCAGAGCCUGAAUCAGUGUGUGUGUUAGUGGAAGCGUCUGGAAAGGCGCGCGAUACAGGGUGACAGCCCCGUACACAAAAAUGCACAUGCUGUGAGCUCGAUGAGUAGGGCGGGACACGUGGUAUCCUGUCUGAAUAUGGGGGGACCAUCCUCCAAGGCUAAAUACUCCUGACUGACCGAUAGUGAACCAGUACCGUGAGGGAAAGGCGAAAAGAACCCCGGCGAGGGGAGUGAAAAAGAACCUGAAACCGUGUACGUACAAGCAGUGGGAGCACAGAGCAAUCUGUGUGACUGCGUACCUUUUGUAUAAUGGGUCAGCGACUUAUAUUCUGUAGCAAGGUUAACCGAAUAGGGGAGCCGAAGGGAAACCGAGUCUUAACUGGGCGUUAAGUUGCAGGGUAUAGACCCGAAACCCGGUGAUCUAGCCAUGGGCAGGUUGAAGGUUGGGUAACACUAACUGGAGGACCGAACCGACUAAUGUUGAAAAAUUAGCGGAUGACUUGUGGCUGGGGGUGAAAGGCCAAUCAAACCGGGAGAUAGCUGGUUCUCCCCGAAAGCUAUUUAGGUAGCGCCUCGUGAAUUCAUCUCCGGGGGUAGAGCACUGUUUCGGCAAGGGGGUCAUCCCGACUUACCAACCCGAUGCAAACUGCGAAUACCGGAGAAUGUUAUCACGGGAGACACACGGCGGGUGCUAACGUCCGUCGUGAAGAGGGAAACAACCCAGACCGCCAGCUAAGGUCCCAAAGUCAUGGUUAAGUGGGAAACGAUGUGGGAAGGCCCAGACAGCCAGGAUGUUGGCUUAGAAGCAGCCAUCAUUUAAAGAAAGCGUAAUAGCUCACUGGUCGAGUCGGCCUGCGCGGAAGAUGUAACGGGGCUAAACCAUGCACCGAAGCUGCGGCAGCGACACUGUGUGUUGUUGGGUAGGGGAGCGUUCUGUAAGCCUGUGAAGGUGUGCUGUGAGGCAUGACUGGAGGUAUCAGAAGUGCGAAUGCUGACAUAAGUAACGAUAAAGCGGGUGAAAAGCCCGCUCGCCGGAAGACCAAGGGUUCCUGUCCAACGUUAAUCGGGGCAGGGUGAGUCGACCCCUAAGGCGAGGCCGAAAGGCGUAGUCGAUGGGAAACAGGUUAAUAUUCCUGUACUUGGUGUUACUGCGAAGGGGGGACGGAGAAGGCUAUGUUGGCCGGGCGACGGUUGUCCCGGUUUAAGCGUGUAGGCUGGUUUUCCAGGCAAAUCCGGAAAAUCAAGGCUGAGGCGUGAUGACGAGGCACUACGGUGCUGAAGCAACAAAUGCCCUGCUUCCAGGAAAAGCCUCUAAGCAUCAGGUAACAUCAAAUCGUACCCCAAACCGACACAGGUGGUCAGGUAGAGAAUACCAAGGCGCUUGAGAGAACUCGGGUGAAGGAACUAGGCAAAAUGGUGCCGUAACUUCGGGAGAAGGCACGCUGAUAUGUAGGUGAAGUCCCUCGCGGAUGGAGCUGAAAUCAGUCGAAGAUACCAGCUGGCUGCAACUGUUUAUUAAAAACACAGCACUGUGCAAACACGAAAGUGGACGUAUACGGUGUGACGCCUGCCCGGUGCCGGAAGGUUAAUUGAUGGGGUCAGCGCAAGCGAAGCUCUUGAUCGAAGCCCCGGUAAACGGCGGCCGUAACUAUAACGGUCCUAAGGUAGCGAAAUUCCUUGUCGGGUAAGUUCCGACCUGCACGAAUGGCGUAAUGAUGGCCAGGCUGUCUCCACCCGAGACUCAGUGAAAUUGAACUCGCUGUGAAGAUGCAGUGUACCCGCGGCAAGACGGAAAGACCCCGUGAACCUUUACUAUAGCUUGACACUGAACAUUGAGCCUUGAUGUGUAGGAUAGGUGGGAGGCUUUGAAGUGUGGACGCCAGUCUGCAUGGAGCCGACCUUGAAAUACCACCCUUUAAUGUUUGAUGUUCUAACGUGGACCCGUGAUCCGGGUUGCGGACAGUGUCUGGUGGGUAGUUUGACUGGGGCGGUCUCCUCCUAAAGAGUAACGGAGGAGCACGAAGGUUGGCUAAUCCUGGUCGGACAUCAGGAGGUUAGUGCAAUGGCAUAAGCCAGCUUGACUGCGAGCGUGACGGCGCGAGCAGGUGCGAAAGCAGGUCAUAGUGAUCCGGUGGUUCUGAAUGGAAGGGCCAUCGCUCAACGGAUAAAAGGUACUCCGGGGAUAACAGGCUGAUACCGCCCAAGAGUUCAUAUCGACGGCGGUGUUUGGCACCUCGAUGUCGGCUCAUCACAUCCUGGGGCUGAAGUAGGUCCCAAGGGUAUGGCUGUUCGCCAUUUAAAGUGGUACGCGAGCUGGGUUUAGAACGUCGUGAGACAGUUCGGUCCCUAUCUGCCGUGGGCGCUGGAGAACUGAGGGGGGCUGCUCCUAGUACGAGAGGACCGGAGUGGACGCAUCACUGGUGUUCGGGUUGUCAUGCCAAUGGCACUGCCCGGUAGCUAAAUGCGGAAGAGAUAAGUGCUGAAAGCAUCUAAGCACGAAACUUGCCCCGAGAUGAGUUCUCCCUGACCCUUUAAGGGUCCUGAAGGAACGUUGAAGACGACGACGUUGAUAGGCCGGGUGUGUAAGCGCAGCGAUGCGUUGAGCUAACCGGUACUAAUGAACCGUGAGGCUUAACCUU